ACUCAAAGGAAUAGACGGGGGCCCGCACAAGCAGCGGAGCGUGUGGUUUAAUUCGACGCAACGCGCAGAACCUUACCCAGACUAGACAUGCAGCUGCAGGGGCGGGAAACCGCCCGGCCUUCGAGGGAGCUGCACAGAUGCUGCAUGGCUGUCGUCAGCUCGUGUCGUGAGAUGUUGGGUUCAGUCCCGCAACGAGCGCAACCCUUGCCCCCAGUUACUGGUGUCUGGGGGGACGGCCACCCGCGAGGGUGGAGGAAGGCGGGGAUGACGUCAAGUCCGCAUGGCUCUUACGUCUGGGGCGACACACACGCUACAAUGGCCAGCCCAGUGCGUCGCUUGCCGGUAACGGUUGGCUAAUCGCGAACGCUGGUCGCAGUGCAGAUCGGGGGCUGCAACUCGCCCCCGUGAAGACGGAGUUGCUAGUAACCGUGCAUCAGCACUGGCACGGUGAAUACGUACCCGGGCCUUGUACACACCGCCCGU
rnacentral:rRNA from 1 species